GACCCCGUAGCUCAGCUGGAUAGAGCGUUUGCCUCCUAAGCGAAAGGCCGCGCGUUCGAAUCGCGCCGGGGUCACCA
rnacentral:tRNA from 1 species